AAAUAGAGCCCACAAUAGAUUUUCCCCAAAAAGAAAGUGGUACUUUUUUUUUCAUUUUCCCGCUCCUCUUCCUUCCCCUUCUCUGCUUUUACUUCUGCCAUCGCCAUCUUCUUCCACCGCCGUCGCCGCUGCUUUCACCGCCGCCUUUGCUUCUUCCAUCGCCGCCUCUGCUUCUAAAGAAUGCAGUGUCGAGGUUAUUCCAUCUUGAGUCGCCGCCAUCCACCCACACAACCAGCUGCUUCGAGUUUCCCUAAUUUGAAGAAAUCGUUCAACGAUUCUGCUUAAUUCAAGUUUCCCAGGUGUUGGAUGCUCUUGAAAAUCUUCAUGCUGUUGAUGUUGACCAAAAAGCUUCAUGAUGCUGCUGAUGGGAUGGGAUGCUUCAUGAUACAAAAAUCAAUUUGCUGGCAAAGAGGUGCGUUUUCUCAGUCAUGACUUGCAUCAGUUUUGGAAUUGGGCUAACAAAACAGAUGGCAUUGAGACUAAUGAGUGUCUCGAAAACAAUGGUGGAUGCCGGCAGGGCACACAAGUUAACAUCACAGCCUACAAGGUAUUCAAUAUUCCGAGGGAGCGGCCUUUCACCUUUGAGGAGAUAGACGAAGUUCGAGAAAUGUUGGCAAACUUCAUUACCAGUGAUUGUCUUUGAUAUUUUCUUGUGCUGAAUCUUAAACUAUGGAUGCUAGCUAGUUUUUCAUAUGAUUGUAAUGUAAUCGACUUUUAUAUUUAAAAUUAUAUACUAUUUAAUUUAAUUAUCUAUAUAAUUAGAUACUUUUUAUAUGA